rnacentral:rRNA from 1 species
UACGAAGGGGGCUAGCGUUACUCGGAAUUACUGGGCGUAAAGCGUGCGUAGGCGGUUCGUUAAGUCUGUCGUGAAAGCCCUGGGCUCAACCUGGGAAUUGCGAUGGAUACUGGCGAGCUAGAGUACGGUAGAGGAUGGUGGAAUUCCCGGUGUAGCGGUGAAAUGCGUAGAUAUCUGGAGGAACACCGGUGGCGAAGGCGGCAUCCUGGACCGGUAUUGACGCUGAGGCGCGAAAGCUAGGGGAGCAAACGGG